rnacentral:rRNA from 1 species
GACGAACGCUGGCGGCGUGCUUAACACAUGCAAGUCGAACGCUGAAGCCCUUUCGGGGGUGGAUGAGUGGCGAACGGGUGAGUAACACGUGGGUAAUCUGCCCUGUACUUCGGGAUAAGCCUUGGAAACGGGGUCUAAUACCGGAUAGGACCUGUCCUCGCAUGGGGGUGGGUGGAAAGUUCCGGCGGUAUGGGAUGAGCCCGCGGCCUAUCAGCUUGUUGGUGGGGUGAUGGCCUACCAAGGCGACGACGGGUAGCCGGCCGGAGAGGGUGACCGGUCACACUGGGACUGAGACACGGCCCAGACUCCUACGGGAGGCAGCAGUGGGGAAUCUUGCGCAAUGGGCGAAAGCCUGACGCAGCAACGCCGCGUGGGGGAUGACGGCCUUCGGGUUGUAAACCUCUUUCGGUAUCGACGAAGGGGUCCUUGUUGGGGCUCUGACGGUAGGUGCAGAAGAAGCACCGGCUAACUACGUGCCAGCAGCCGCAGUAA